rnacentral:rRNA from 1 species
GAUCAUGGCUCAGAUUGAACGCUGGCGGCAUGCUUUACACAUGCAAGUCGAACGGUAACAGGUCUUCGGAUGCUGACGAGUGGCGAACGGGUGAGUAAUACAUCGGAACGUGCCUAGUAGUGGGGGAUAACUACUCGAAAGAGUAGCUAAUACCGCAUGAGAUCUACGGAUGAAAGCAGGGGACCUUCGGGCCUUGUGCUACUAGAGCGGCUGAUGGCAGAUUAGGUAGUUGGG